rnacentral:tRNA from 1 species
GGGGUUGUGGCUCAGAGGUAGAGCACUCACCUAGCAUGUGUGAAAAACUGGGUUCGACCCUCAGCACCACA